UGGCGGACGGGUGAGUAAUGUCUGGGAAACUGCCUGAUGGAGGGGGAUAACUACUGGAAACGGUAGCUAAUACCGCAUAACGUCGCGAGACCAAAGAGGGGGACCUUCGGGCCUCUUGCCAUCGGAUGUGCCCAGAUGGGAUUAGCUAGUAGGUGGGGUAACGGCUCACCUAGGCGACGAUCCCUAGCUGGUCUGAGAGGAUGACCAGCCACACUGGAACUGAGACACGGUCCAGACUCCUACGGGAGGCAGCAUG
rnacentral:rRNA from 1 species